rfam:Brassica napus, WGS project CCCW01000000 data, contig: 27630
UUUGAGGGGAAUGUUGUUUGGCUCGAAGACUCUAGCUAUUCAUGUUAGAUCUUCUUCGAUCUAAUCGAAUCACACCUCCAUGUUUGAGAUCUGAUUAGGAUUUUAGGGUCGUCGGACCAGGCUUCAUUCCCCCCAAU